rnacentral:rRNA from 1 species
UACGUAGGGUGCAAGCGUUAAUCGGAAUUACUGGGCGUAAAGCGUGCGCAGGCGGCUUUGUAAGUUUGUCGUGAAAUCCCCGGGCUUAACCUGGGAACUGCGUUUGAAACUUACAAGGCUAGAGUGUGGCAGAGGGGGUGGAAUUCCGACGGUGUAGCAGGUGAAAUGCGUAGAGAUGUGGAGGAACACCGAUGGCGGAAGGCAGCCCCCUGGGUAACACUGACGCUCGAUGCACGAAAGCGUGGG